rnacentral:rRNA from 1 species
UACGGAGGGUGCAAGCAUCGAUCGGAAUUACUGGGCGUAAAGGGCGCGUAGGCGGUUUAGAAAGUCAGAUGUGAAAUUCCGGGGCUCAACCCCGGAGCUGCAUUUGAAACUUCUAAGCUAGAGUUCAGUUAGGGUAAACAGAAUUCCACGCGUAGCGGUGAAAUGCGUAGAUAUGUGGAAGAACACCGGUGGCGAAGGCGGUUUUCUAUCUUAUUCCUGACGCUGAGGCGCUAAAGCAAGGGGAUCAAACAGG